UUUGUUUUAUUUUAUUUUAUAUUUUUUUUUUAUUAUUAUUUUUUUGUAUGGAUUAAAAAUAUGUAUUUUUCUCCUUUGCGUUUGCGGUAACUUUUCCAUAUCCAGUUCUAGUUGAGUCCAUGUUCCAACCACUGGUACCUAAAGAGGAUAAAACGGAUAUGCAAAUUUUGACAUCAAACGUCAGCUGGAAAAGGAUUAUGGUGUUAAUGCUUGUGUGGGUUUCUUUUUUUAUCUCUUCAGAUUAUCAAGAGGAAUCGGAAUCGGAAUAGGAAUAGGAAGGAUGGAAUAAGUGGAUUGCGAGACGACAUCCUCAUCACCAUCCUCUCUCGUUUGACACUUAAGGAAGCAGCUUGUACUUGUAUUCUCUCACGCCGAUGGAGGUAUUUGUGGAGAUAUAGAACUGCUUGUUUCAACUUGGAUUCAAAAUCAUUACUAGGAUUUCGUGCAGAAAAUGAUAUAUAUUUUGAAGAAAGUAUGUACGUUGUGUGAAUGAAGUCUUGAAAUUGCAUCUUGGUUCCUGUAUAGACAAAAAGAGGAUUUCUUUUACUUUGAAUGGGCAAUACCCUAGUGAUAUCGAUGCUAAUUCAAUUAUUAAAGUACUUAAUGGAAUUUAAACAAAAUAUAGAACUAAUGUACACUAUAAUUAAACAUAACUUAGAAUUAACAAGUAAUGUAACAAAAUUCCAAACAAUACGAGACAAACAUAGAAUAGAAUAGAGUACGUCAACUCAAAUUCGGCAGGCAGGACUGGUUAAUUACCUGAGUAUUGGCGGGAUUUGAAAAUUGUUGCAGCAUGACAGCACCUGGUGUGGAU